rnacentral:rRNA from 1 species
CCUACGAGCGGCAGCAGUGAGGAAUAUUGGUCAAUGGACGCAAGUCUGAACCAGCCAUGCCGCGUGCAGGAAAACGGCUCUAUGAGAUGUAAACUGCUUUUGUACGAGGGUAAACGCAGAUACGCGUAUCUGUCUGAAAGUAUCGUACGAAUAAGGAUCGGCUAACUCCGUGCCAGCAGCCGCGGUAAUACGGAGGAUUCAAGCGUUAUCCGGAUUUAUUGGGUUUAAAGGGUGCGUAGGCGGUCGGAUAAGUUAGAGGUGAAAUCCCGAGGCUCAGCUUCGGAAUUGCCUCUGAUACUGUUCGGCUAGAGAGUAGUUGCGGUAGGCGGAAUGUAUGGUGUAGCGGUGAAAUGCUUAGAGAUCAUACAGAACACCGAUUGCGAAGGCAGCUUACCAAGCUACUUCUGACGUUGAGGCACGAAAGCGUGGGGAGCAAACAGGAUUAGAUACCCUUGUAGUC